AUUGAACGCUGGCGGCAGGCCUAACACAUGCAAGUCGAGCGGUUGAGUGGAGCUUGCUCUAUGAUUCAGCGGCGGACGGGUGAGUAAUGCCUAGGAAUCUGCCUGGUAGUGGGGGAAAACGUCUCGAAAGGAACGCUAAUACCGCAUACGUCCUACGGGAGAAAGUGGGGGAUCUUCGGACCUCACGCUAUCAGAUGAGCCUAGGUCGGAUUAGCUAGUUGGUGAGGUAAAGGCUCACCAAGGCGACGAUCCGUAACUGGUCUGAGAGGAUGAUCAGUCACACUGGAACUGAGACACGGUCCAGACUCCUACGGGAGGCAGCAGUGGGGAAUAUUGGACAAUGGGCGAAAGCCUGAUCCAGCCAUGCCGCGUGUGUGAAGAAGGUCUUCGGAUUGUAAAGCACUUUAAGUUGGGAGGAAGGGCAGUAAGUUGAUACCUUGCUGUUUUGACGUUAGCAACAGAAUAAGCACCGGCUAACUUCGUG
rnacentral:rRNA from 1 species